CAAUAGCGUAUAUUAAAGUUGUUGCGGUUAAAAAGCUCGUAGUUGGAUUUCUGCCGAGGACGACCGGUCCGCCCUCCGGGUGAGUAUCUGGUUUGGCCUGGGCAUCUUCUUGGAGAACGUAGCUGCACUUGACUGUGUGGUGCGGUGUCCAGGACUUUUACUUUGAGGAAAUUAGAGUGUUUCAAGCAGGCACACGCCUUGAAUACAUUAGCAUGGAAUAAUAAGAUAGGACCUCGGUUCUAUUUUGUUGGUUUCUAGAGCUGAGGUAAUGAUUAAUAGGGAUAGUUGGGGGCAUUCGUAUUUAACUGUCAGAGGUGAAAUUCUUGGAUCUGUUAAAGACGGACUACUGCGAAAGCAUUUGCCAAGGAUGUUUUCAUUGA
rnacentral:rRNA from 1 species